UAGGGAAUCUUCCGCAAUGGACGCAAGUCUGACGGAGCAACGCCGCGUGAGUGAAGAAGGAUUUCGGUUCGUAAAACUCUGUUGUUAGAGAAGAACAGCGCAUAGAGUAACUGUUAUGCGUGUGACGGUAUCUAACCAGAAAGCCACGGCUAACUACGUGCCAGCAGCCGCGGUAAUACGUAGGUGGCAAGCGUUGUCCGGAUUGAUUGGGCGUAAAGCGAGCGCAGGCGGUCAAUUAAGUCUGAUGUGAAAGCCCCCGGCUCAACCGGGGAGGGUCAUUGGAAACUGGUUGACUUGAGUGCAGAAGAGGAGAGUGGAAUUCCAUGUGUAGCGGUGAAAUGCGUAGAUAUAUGGAGGAACACCAGUGGCGAAGGCGACUCUCUGGUCUGUAACUGACGCUGAGGUUCGAAAGCGUGGGUAGCAAACAGG
rnacentral:rRNA from 1 species